CCGAUGGCAACAGCGCUACCGCCGGCCGGCGACGGCGGGCGAAGCGUCUCAGCGCGGAGAAAGGGGGCGAGCAGCCUAGAGAGAGAGAGGGAUACGCGGGAAGUAGGCGGUGCGGCGGCGAGACGCCGUCAUAUGGACCGGCCCGCCGCCGCCGGUUGUUUCGGCCGCACCAGCAAGGGCUACACGAUCCAGGUUCUUCAGAUCCCGGUAGGUGAAUGCUGCUUCUCUCAUGGCAUCUGCUUUCUUCUCAGGCCAGUUAGGGAAGUGCUUGAGCACUGCCCGUUCGUCUAUCAGGUAUGAUAGUUCCCCAUCUAGCCACUUCACAAACUCUUCAACAUCGGCUAUUUCCUUGUAUGCUGCAUUCUGAACUUCCCUUGCCAGGAAGCUAAUGAAUUCGCCCUGAUUUUCUACAUCUGAUUUAAUCUGUUGGAACACAAUCAUAAGGGAAUAUUUUUGGAUUGGUGAGGAAAUUAUUGAUCUGUACAGAAUAAUAGGGAGAAAACAUGACUCAGAUGUACAUUAAAAGAUUAUUCGUACUAUAAAAAAAUAAAGAGUUAUAUAACAUUAUCAACUGCAGGAGGGAAACAGAAAAAUCAGAAGAACAUGUUGCAUUCUCUUAAACUAACACAUGGCAUUGCUUUUUGAUGCAUAAAGAAAAGAUAUCAUAUAUUGUGGUGUAUUCGUAAGGUUUUAAAGGUGAGUGAAAAUUUUACACAAUAAAAAAUUACUAUUUACGAAAUGGGAGAGAUGUUUAAAGAAUAGUCUAUCUGUUGAGAUAUUGUCUUUAAUACAACAAUGAACUGGUAACUGUCAUGCGGGAGGAAAUAUUGUGCAAUUGUCAUACUACUCAUACUCUUGUUGCUUAUGUUGGUUCGAAAAGAAAAGAAAAAUUAAACCAAGGAAUUGGCAGCUAAGUAAACAAUAUAUCAUAUGCACAUC